UACGUAGGGGGCGAGCGUUGUCCGGAUUUAUUGGGCGUAAAGAGCUCGUAGGCGGUUCGAUAAGUCGGACGUGAAAUCUCCACGCUCAACGUGGAGGGGCCGUUCGAUACUGUCGUGACUCGAGUCCGGUAGGGGAGUGUGGAAUUCCCGGUGUAGCGGUGAAAUGCGUAGAUAUCUGGAGGAACACCGGUGGCGAAGGCGGCAUCCUGGACCGACACUGACGCUGAGGAGCGAAAGCCAGGGGAGCAAACGGG
rnacentral:rRNA from 1 species